rnacentral:lncRNA from 1 species
AAUUCAAUAGAGGUCAUCAGUAGAUGCUAAAACCAUUAGGUGUAGGCAUUACAUACAUAUCUGGCCGCAAGGCCUGGGCAAUCAGCUGAGAAGCCAUCUCAGUGUGAGCCAGAGAGUCGUCAAGCAGCAGCGGCUGCUCUGGGUCUAACAGUAGUAGUAGAACCUCUGCUCCUACUCUGAGCCCUCUCCUGGGCUUGGUGUUGUAUCUCAUUCUCAACGCAACCAUGUCCCUUCCUCCUGGACAACGGUGCAGCAGUGGCAAGGAGAGACGAGGUCCCUUAGGGACACCAGAACAGAGAAUGCAGCAUCUGAUUUCCUCAGAUUGAUUUCCCUCUGUUUUUCUAGCUCCAUCCACUCCAGCCCAUGAAUCUUCUCCAAAAACGAGAGCAGAGCAUUCAGCAGCUAUGGGCCAUCAGUAAGGGCCAUUUAGCACUCACCCCUGCUCCAUUACAAGGCCUGUCCCAGUAGCCAGUGAAUAACUGCAUGAAGAGGCUCUCAGAUGCUGCCAACUGCCCAGGUGAGUUUGCCCUGGAAGUGAUAAACAUCUUACCAGGAAGAAACCAACAUUUAGAAUGCCUCAUAAAGAAAGAAUCCACUAAGCUGAAUAUAAGACAGAAUAAACAGGUUAAAAAAAAGAAAAAAAGAUUUACCUAUAAGGAGUAGGUACCUACAAAAAACAGGUCGUGUGACUUUAGCUCCUCCAGGAGGAAAGGCAGCUCCUGAAUCCAUGACUGUUAUAUAGGAAGAAAGGGAUACUCUUCUUUUUUUUUUCUCACCAAAUCCAUUAAGAGUUCCAAAGGUGGAUUAAUGGAGCUACAGAAUAGAAAUUUGGUAAUAGCCCACUGUCCUCACAAGAAAAAGACCUCCAUCCAUGUUGUGCAAGAAUCAGCUGACUCCCAUUACCACCCAUCCCAGUUAGGCCCUUCUUCUUCAAGAGGAGCCUAUAAACUGGCUCCUACAAUGUGACUGCAGCCCGGUCACAAGGCAGUCUGGAAGGUAAAUGUCUUGCAAAAAUAAUGCUGUAAAUUCCCUGAACUCAUACUCUUUGGCAGAAGGGAGAGAUCAUGGUGGGGAAACCAAAAACCAACUGGAAGAAAUGGAAGAGCUGACUUAGAGAAGGAAAUUGAAAUGUAGUUUGAGAGAGAGAAACUGAAAUAGAGCUCAAAUAUAAGCCAGCUAUUAGUGAGAAGAUUAGACUUAAGAGGAGAGUCCUGUAUGGACACUUGGUUUUCAAAACUUGGAAGACCAAGAAUAAACAGCUCAAACAGGCCAAUGACACUGUGGAGAGGGACUUAGCUGAUAAAGGGAAAGGAAUUCAAAAGCAUUUUGUGGACAUGGAUAUUCAAAACAAGAAGUUAUAAUCCUAAUUGUAGGACAUAAAGAUGACACAGGAUAACCCUCUGAGACAAGACAGUGCCUGGAUUUCAAGAUUUUCCAGAAAAGAAAACCUUAACUUCCAACACCUCCAAUGGCAAAAUGGAGAGCAUGUUGUCUCUGGAAAAGUAGUCACAGAGUAAGGGGACAACAGUGAGUUGACACGACAGAUGAUGUGACUAAUGGCUCUGAUUUGUUUGAUGAGAUUUUGAUGGUUACCACCACCGAGUUUGGUCCCCUUCUUUCCAUAGCCUCUCUCUCCAUCCCUGAAGCAAAGGGCCAAGAAGCCUCCACAUUGCAGUGACCCUGCGGCGUGAUGCCAGACGGGGCCACCAGAUCUUUGGGGUUCUUGGUGGAGUCGCUCAUCAUCCAGAACGUGUCCAAGUUCCGGGAGCACAGGUCAUCUGACAAGUCUGGUGCUGACGGGCAGAAACUCCCGGUGGGCCUUUGUAAGGAUGAGCCUUUUGUUGAACAGCAGGCAAAGCGACCUGGGCCCAGUUCCCAGAUCCUGUAGCGCAAGGAAGACUCGUUCCUGUGCCAACUCCAGCAGCACAACGCUGGCGUUUGCAGCCCAGAAGAAAGAAUCACGGAUGGCAUGGCGCCCAGCUCCGCCUGCGGGUCUGCUGUCCCAUGGCCAGACCCACAGGGACAGUCCCAAGCUGCGCCUUCCCACCCACGUGCAGGCCUGCUCCUCGGGGCCUGAGCAGACGCAGCAGGUCCGCGCGGUCUGCUGCUCGCGCUCCUUCUUGUGCAACUGAAAGCAACGAUCGUUGACAGUUCCAACCGUCCUUGCUCAGUGGCUGUUUUCAACUGGAAGAUCACAGUGCCCCAAGUCAAGGAAAGGCCCAAGUGAGGGACAGCAAUCGAGCUCCUGGCCCUACCACACCCAGGGCAUCUCCAACCCUUCUCCUGCUUGAGGCUAAGGAGGGAAAAAAAUGAGAGAAAUACUGAAGACAGAGAUCCUGGCAAAACAAUACCUACCACAAGGAAACAGGAAUGAAGAAGGAAAUUGAGAAUGCCGGACCUUCUAAAACCUUAAGCAUGGGCCUCAGGCCUACAGCAUCCCGUGGAAGUUUAGUAGGUUUGCACAAUUUCAGACCUCAUGCUGGACUGACCAAAUGAGAAUCUACAUAUUAACAGAUUCCUAGGUAAUUCAUUGACCACUAAAAUUUUAUGAGCGCUGAUCUACAAGAUACCUGACUGAAACUCUUCAAAAAUCAGUCUAAGGCCCAGAUGGGUUGGUGAAUUCUGCCAAACAUUCAAAGAAGAAAUUAUACCAAAUCUCUACAAUCUCUUUGAGAGGUGAGAAGCAGAAAGAAUAGUUCCUAACUCAUUCUAUGAGGCCAGCAUUACCAUAACACCAAGACCAGACAGAUACAUUACAAGAAAAACAAACUAAAGACCAAUAUCUCUCAUGAACAUAGAUGCAAAAAUCCUCAACAAAAUAUUAACAGAUCAAAUCCAACAAUAUAUGAAAGGAAUUAUACACCACGACCAAGUAGGAUUUAUUCCAGUAUGGAAGGUUGGUUCAACAUUCAAAAAUCAAUGUAAUCCAUAACAUCAAGGCUAAAAAAGAAGAAUCACAUGAUCAUAUCAAUAGAUGCAGAAAAAGACUUUGACCAAAUCCAACACCUCAUGAUAAAACUCUCAGUAACCUAAGAAUAGAGGUGAACUUUCUUAACUUGACAAAGACUAUAAAAAAACCCUACAGGUGAAAACAUGUGCCAUUGUCGUGAAUGAUGAUGGUAAUGGGGGGGAAGCUACACAGGUGUGCAGGUAGAGGUAUAUGGGAAAUCUCUGUAUCGCUCCCUCAAUUUUGUUGUAAACCUGAAGCUUCUCUAAAAAAUAGCCUUAAAAAAUGUCAAUCUAAAAAACUGUGAGGAACUCUUUAGAAUAAAAAAAAGAUUUAAGAGACAUAAAAAAUCAAAUUUAGUGUUGGAAACAAUUCCAUCCUGGUUCAAAGAAGUUAUAAAAUAUAAAACAUAUUAUUGGAACAAUUUGACUAGAGACGAAGCUUUUAGAUGAUAUUAUUGAGGCAAUUUGAGUACAGACUAGACUUUAGAUGAUAUUAUGGAAUAUUUAAUCUUCUUUGGUGCGCUACUGGUAUUGUGGUUAUGUAGGGGGAGUGUCUAUCAUGAGGAGAUGCAUGCUGAGGUAUUUAAAGGUGAAUUGUCAUAAUAUCUGUAACUCACUUUCGAAUGGUUCAGCAAAAUCAAAUUUGCAGAGAGAGAAAGCAAAGAUAGAAAAAUUUCUGGGUUUCUGAAACGUUUACUAGUAAGUUGAAGAAAAGUGAACGGAGAUGUCAAAGUAUGAGGGGAAUGGCUUCAUUCCCUAAUUACAUAAAUAUACUAGGACUCAAACACCAGAAUACGUUUAAAACGUAACAUCAAAAUAUUUUGAACAGUUUAAGUGUGAGUCAAUAAUAUAAUUAAUAAAUUAUCCAAUUAUUUAAAAUAGGUGACUUUCAUUCCAGCAUCAGAAAGCACGCAUAGGUGGGGCUGAGACUAUAGCUUCAAAAGCAAGAAUCAUACCUCCACUUUCCACAGGCUGGAGAGUCAAUUCCUUGCACCUACUUCCCCAGAUCCAGCGUCAGUGUUACUGUGACCCACAACUAGAGAACAGGAUGUGAUAUAUCCUUUGAGUGUGUGGGUGUGAAAAAAGACCGAGAAUCAGAGUCCAGAGACUGAUACAAUUGUACAUGGGGAUUAAGAAAUGGAAUCUGACUCGUUGUUCUGUUAGACACAAGAAAGUAUGUGGUAAAGCAGAAUAUCUUCUUUUUUUAAUAUUUUAUAUAAAUGUCUGAAAAGUACAAAGAAACUUAUUUUAAAGCACUUAAUUUCAACUACUAAUUCUCAAAAGGAAAAGGAAAUUUUAAAAAUAUUUAUAUUUAGUUAAAUAUAAUGAUAUAAUUAGAAUGAAAUUACUUUAUGAAGUUAUUACCUUUUUAAAAAUUUUGUUGAGGUCAUAUUGGUUUAUACAUUGUGUAAUUUCAGGUGUACAUUAUUAUAUAUCAGUUUCUGUAUAGACUGCAUCGUGCUCACCACCAAUAGUCUAGUUUUUCUCAGUCACCAUAUACAUGUGCCUCUUUAUCCCUUUUGCCUACUCCCCCACCACUUCCCCUCUGGUACCCACUAAUCUGUUCUCUUUAUCCAUGUAUUUGUUUAUCUUCCACAUAUGAAUGAAAUCAUAGGGUGUUGUCUUUCUCUGGCUUAUUUUGCUUGUUGUUGAAAAAUGUGUCUAUUACUAUUUUAUUUUUGAAAGAACAAUGCAAAUACAACUUAAAGUUGUUUUGUGAAUGUGUACUAAAAAAUCUUAAAAUCAUACCAGUAAGGAAGUGUUAAUAUAGUACCAUAAUUUUACCAUUUCUGCAGACUAAGGAUCAAUUGUUUUUCUUUAUCAUAGACUGGUAUUGAAGAGCCAUGGUGUUUGUUCAGUUAAGUUCAGUAGGGCACAACAGGAUGCUUUCCAUUUUUAUGAUCUAAAAACACCAGGAACCAUAUGUUCAAACUGUUACAUACUGUCAUUAGUGAUCAUAGUGGCAUUCUUCACAUCAACAUGUUGAAGCCCUGUCUGCUAGUCUUCCCAUUAUGAAUUAUGAAUUUAGAGACAUAUAAAUUAAUCAGAUUAUUAUUAUGACUUACUGACUUUGAUAUUAUUAUAUAAACUAAGCCCCAAAAUAUAGAAUCAUGAUUUCCAUAUCUAUUACUACAAAAAUAUAUAUGUACAAAUACAUAAAUAGACAUAUAUAUAUGAAUGCAUAUUAAAAAUAAAUAUAAAUCUUGAGCCAGUCUGAUGGCCUAGUGGUUAAAGUUCGGUACUCUUACCCUUCGGCAGCCUGGAUUCGUUUCACUAUGGUAGAACCACACCACUUGUCUGUCAGCUGCCAAGCUGUGGCAGCAGCUUACAUAGAAAAACUAGGAGGACUUAUAACUAGGAUAUACAACCAUGCACUGGGGCUUUCGGAAGGAAAAAAUAAAAUAAAUAUAAAUCUCAAUUGUCUUGGAUAAUGACUAAGGACAGCAUAAAAUCAAGUAAAACAUCCAUAGAUCUCAUUUUUCAUUGACUUCAAGACCUGUCAUUACUAAAUUAUAAAAUGAAUAUAAAGUUAUAAAUUUCAUCCUAAAGUACAGGUAAAUAUCACUGAAGUCACCUAGCCCUCUGAAAUUUAUUUAUAAUCAGGUUAAUCCCCUUUCUCAAUUUCUGUGAGAAACACAUCUUUCUUCAAGAUAUGUAUACAUAUACAUGUUUUUCCCUAUUUCCAGGGUUGUCACCUUCCCAUAGUCACAUUGAACUUUUUUCUUCUUGCUUUUCUUUUUUUUUUUUGCAGAUGAUUAGCCCUGAGCUAACAUCUGUGCCCAUCUUCUUCUACUUUAUAUGUGGGAAGCCUGCUGCAGCAUGGCUUGACAAGCAGCGUGUGGGCCCCUGCCGCAGAUUCGAAUCUGUGAAUCACUGGCCACUAAAGCAGAGUGAGCGGACUUAAAUACUAUGCUACUGGGCCAGCCUUUUUCUUCUUGCUUUAAAUUGUUUUUCUUCUUUUCCAUUCUACUCAAGGUUUUCCUUUCUUUUUGUUUUUGCUUUUUUAGGCUCCCUCUGUGUUUACCAAUACAGGUAAUACAAGGUACUUGGUUGUGCAGAGCAACAUGGUGAGGUGUGGUCUCAGCUCCAGCUCAGCCUCUAGGCUCUCUCCCCUUCACUCUCACCCUAGUCUUCCUGUUCACACACAUCCACUGAAUUCCUGGGUAAGUGUUAUGUACAACAUUUUCUUUCCCUUUUUUCUAUUGUCUUUUGCUGAAUCCUUCUCUUCUUACAGAAAAUGGCACAAGUUAUUUUCCUAGACAAAAUUUUUCUCCCACAAAAAGAAUUUUUGUGAUGUUAAAUUAUUAUUAUUAAUAUUGUUACUAGCAUAUUGCUUCCAAACUCAGAGCAAACUAGUUACAUUUCUUUUUUCUUAUCUUUUACUUUAUAGGCAAAGAUGAAGGCAGGGAGUAAAACGAUCAAGAAGUAUUUCAAAUCAAUAGUGUUCAACUUUAGCUUUUGAAAGCCUGGCUUCAAAUAAAUGUACAAUAAAUUCUUGAUCAUUCCUUCUCCCUUCAGUAAGUGUUCUGCAUUUAAAGAUACAAAAAGGAGUUCAUUUUAUAAUAACCCAGGAUUACAUAAAAGGGAUAUACUUUUGGCCUAAGAAUGUGUGUGCUUAUUAAUACUUUUGCUAAAUUUAGAAAGAAAAGAAAAACAAGAAAUUUGACUUUAAAUGUAUAAAAAGUAUCAAACUGUUGUAUUGUCAGAAAUUACCUAAUUCGGAUGUUCUCAGCAGGUGUGGUAUCAUGCCAUAGACAUGAUGUACUGGAAAUUUCUGGAAGUAACUUGGGGGGUUGCAGCUGACAUUUUAUGGGACAGGGCCAAGAAUAAUAGAUUUCCCAAAAUCCUUGGGUCACUACCACCCAAACAAGAGAUAUCCUAUAUCUCCCAGAACUUUUGAACAUUCAACCAGCUAUCCGUGAAGUGAAAAAUACGUAUAUAAUUAACCAAGUAUAGAAUUUUAUUAAACAUUUAAUGUAAACCAAAGGGGCUUUUUUGCAUAGUAUAUAUUGAAUUUUCCAUUAAUGUAAUUAUUAUAUAAACCACCAGAAUUGUAUUUUAUUUCAUUCAAAAUUUUAACAAGAGUUGGUCAUCAUUCUAGAAAAUCGUGUCACCAAAACACCUGCAUGUCUAUACAGGUAUGCAGUACAAUAUACUUGACUCGUUCAUUAAUUCUAUAUAUAGGCAAAGAACCACAUUUUCUUAUUUAGAUGUUUUGGCAGUUUGGCCCAAGCAUUUAAAUCUUAAAAUGUAGAACUUUUAGUGUAAAUUAUUUUCCAUUUAUUUUCCUUUCCUUUAAGAUGAGGGAAAUUGUCAGCUUUAUUUAAACCAGUACACAGAUAGUUUACACUAAGCAUAAAGAAUAUUUCAGGAUAGUAGAAGGGAUGCCACAACAUGUUUGCUUUAAAGAGCGGCAGUAAGUCCACGGCGUGAAACACUAACCUGGGCCACAGUCGCCUUUUGGAUCAGAGACUUUUAGUGGGUGAUUUCAGAUGUUAUUUUUUUCCAGCUUAGCCAUUCCUUCACCAUGGGCAAGUCCCUGAGGAACACUGUGACUCACUUUCUCUAUCUGUAAAAUAAAGAUAAUAAUAGCACCUACUUCAUGGGCUUAUUGUAAAUAUAAAUGGGUUAAUAUGUAUAAAACACUUAGAACUGACAAGCACCAAAUAAGAAGCAGACGUCCCAGUCACCAUCAUCAUCAUCAUCAUCAUCACUAUUAAAUCCAGAAAAAAAUACACAUGAAUAAAAAGUGUACAUUGCAGUGACAGCUUUUUUCAGGAAUUACUGAAGGGGAUUUACUUAGGGAAGUAUGAUAGUAAACUUGUUAGGAAAUGAUGGGGACAUUGAUGCUGACAAUGGUAGUGGAAAUAUGCCCAAGAGAAGAAGCAAGCUUCAGUUUACAGAGUAUCAAAAUAGACAGGACAUCAGUACAGAGAUGUCAUAUAAUUGAAUUGAAACUUGAGCUUACAGGAAUUGUUCCACCGAGGUGUGGGGAACCUAGGGUCAUGCCUAGAGGUAUGAACAAAGGGGAGGUGCACAAUACGUAUUUCCUCAACCCACAUGUCUCUUUCUUCAUGCAGAUGAAAAGGGAAUAAUAUGAACUUCAAGGAAAUCCUUGAAUGAGAAAUUAUUUUAGAAAACGUAAAAAGCUAUAGGGAAUAUGGUAAAAUGGGAGAGGAAAGCCCCACCUAAUGCCAGUGUGUGUAUGUUAUAUACCAUAGGAUAUUACACCACUUUAAGGUCAGUCACCUCUUUUCUUUCCAACCAGAAGUUUACCUGAAUCAUUCUUCCAAAAUCCCUGAAAUCAUUACUCUCAUGUAAAUACCCUAAUUCAAUAUAACAACAACCAUGGUAAUAAUAUUAAUAGUAAUAAUAAUGUACCUAAUAUCUAAGAGUACUUACUAUUAAGUUUUUAUUACACCAAAGAAAAAUUAUAUAAUAAAGUAUAGAUUACUGCUUAUUUAAAAAUACAUGGGAAAAGACAAACAUACAAAGGCAUUAUCAUACAACUGAUUUCUAAGCUCUAUAGUUUUAAAAUACAAAACAGUGAUCAUUACCCUCAAAAGGUAGUUGAUUGAAACAAAUUGAUUUUUAAGUUGGUCUAUAACUCUUUCCACUUGGUUUUCUUAACAAAUGUUACUGGAAUUUUCAGUUUCAUCCCAUAUAGAACUUUUUUUUCCGACAUGUUUACUUCCCAAAGUAGUACAUAGUUAUUUCUUGCAAUUAAUGUCAGCAACUAUAGGAAGCUCCUCUAAGUUACGAGAAUUCAAUGUGGUUACUGCUUUGAAAAUAGUUACCAUUUUAGGUAAGACUCUUGUAUUGAAAGGCAAAAGCUUACUGGGCAAGACAUGCCAUUUGAGAUCAAUAGGACUAUGAAAAACUUAAUAAGAAGCACUAAUAAAUAAAAGAAGAUUAAUUAAUAAAUAACCAUUUUUUAUAGCUUCUCAUGAAUUAUCUAAUCCUUACAAUUUCUCUGUGAGGAAACAGUCAUAUCACCAUUUUGAUGAGGAAGAAUAUAAGACACAGAGAACUUAUAUUUUACGGGUGACUCUGAGGAUAAAAUCUUAAUGGAAUGAGUUAAUGCACUCCCAAAAGAAUCCAACUAUUUUUUAGGGAAUAACAUAUUCUGUAUCUCUCAUUUUUUUCACUUUAUCCUUAGUUCAUUGUCUCAUACUCUUUGCCAUUAAUUAUGGUAGAGAAAAGUGGGAGGUUGGAGUAAGUGGGAAAGAACAAGAGAUAGAUGUACAUGAAAGCAUAGCCUAUUGAGUUAGCUUUGCUAAUUCGAUUUAGCUUUUAAACUAUUCUGUUUUCUGAAAUAUAAGAUUUGCAAAAUGUCUAUCAAACAAAGAAAUGUCUGUUGUCACAUUAGCAUAUUUUAUUCUUCUUAAUUUUAUUUGUAAUCACUUUUUUGGAGUGUUUUCUCUCUAUCACGUUAUUUGUGGCACAUAAGUUAUGACCUGUUUAUGGAUUCACUUAAUUUGUAGAAUGAUCAACUAAAUUAAACAGCAUAAUAUCCCAAAUAUAAAAUCGUAAUUCAUCUGUGCUAAAUGAACAUUUUUUGGGCCAUCCAUCCAUAGUUACUGACUAUGAAUAAUCUGUAAAUAAAGAUCAUGUACUAAAAAGAUCAACAAGCUUUAUAUCAGGCACCCAACUAGUUCAAAGGUGAGUCACAUAUGCUUAAACCCUAAGCCACAGAAUGAAUCAGUUGUAAGUAUCAGAAAAAGAAUUUGAAUCCUAAUUUCUGGCACCUGUUUAAGCUAGGUGAAGACAUUUGGUUAAUAGUCUACUAACAAUAAUCUACAAGAAAUUUUCCAUCCCAUUUGUAUAAAAACAAUUAUUAAAUUGAAACUUUUUGUUCUGUUGUUUACAUUGACUUGUCUCUGGUAGUAUGAAUGUAUACUAACAAUUAUUUCUGUUUUUCAUAAAUAGAAAGUGGUCAAUAGUUUAUCUUAAAAUUUCCUAAACUUUUAACUGCAAUCGCAAUCCAAAACCAAUUAAAAUUCUUUUCAAUUGCCAAACUGUCAUGGGUAUAAAAAAAACCAGAAUUACUUAUUUCUUAGUUUUAAUAACUCUUGCGAAUUGUUCAUUAAAGAUUUAAAAAUGUAAACAUGUCAAGAUUAAUAUGAAUUUAGCUUCUGUUUCUAGUAUAGAAUUUCUAAAACAAAAUGUAUGUUAGAAAAACAGAGAACUUUCUUUGCUCUUACCCUAGAGUCUAAAUGGAAUGUGGCAGAAAAAUAAUUAGUUGAGUAAAUUUUAUCUUACUUUAACAAGAGACAGGUAUUCUUAUGCCAUAUGUCCUUUGAAAUGGUACUUUUACUAUGGAGAAAGCAUGAAAGAAGAGACUGACAGAAUAGCAGUUUUAGAUAAAGUCCUUUUUUUCUUUCCAAUCCCAUUUUUAUUUGAUUUAAUCCAGUUUUAUUGCACGAUGAUAUUUACAUUAAAUCAAGUUGCUACGGAAAUAACGGUUAGAUCAGGCAUUUACAUGACAUGACAUUAUCUGACUUAUUUCCCCUUAAUUUAAUAGGACACAAAUUGAAUUUGAAUGUAAGAUGCCAAAGGAAAUCUAUCACUAGUUUUGUGGUUGUAUUUCCGUAUAUGGCCCUUUUACUUGACAACAAUAAUAAAUCAAUGUCUUGGUAAGACUAGUUUAAGAAUCUUUCCUGUUAUCCAUUGUCCUUGAUUGAGCAAGCAUCUGUCAAUGUAUUUGUUUAUAUGUGACUGCUCUGCACAUUGUGCUAAAAAUCACAGGAUAUAACAAAAAACAUAUUUCCUCUCUUCAUAAAGUUUACAAUCUAGUAAGAAAGACAAAAUAAAUGUUAAAUAGAACAGCAAGACAUAAAAGAGUUCAAACUAAUAAAACAGAUCUUAAAAUAUAGGGGCCGGAAAUCUAUCUGCUUGUGAGUUGAAGUUAAAAUAUUCACACUUUUUGAUAGCCCACUCUGGGUAUGACACUGAAAAUGUCAAGAUAUAAACGAUGUUCAAUGUUAUGCUUGGGUUUCUGAAAGUAUUUCAAACAAGUAAUGGUUAGACCAGUGGAAUUCCAUAUAGCAUUUAAUAACUAUGACUACUAUACAAUCGAGAUGGUUAGGUAUAGAAAUACUCCAGAAACUAAUUCAAUCAUUUCAUAUUCCAGGUGAGAAAACUGAAGCCCAGAAAUUUAUUACUUGCCCAAGAUAACCAAGUUAGUUAGCAGCAAAUGUAAGAAUACAAAUCAAGUUCCUGAUUUUAGACAAGACUUCUUUCCACAAAAUCAUAUUGUAUCUCCCUGGAAUAGAUUAUGAUGUCUACCAUAAAACCUCAAAUUUGGAAGGUACACAGGAUACUAUAUAGGUUUUGAAAACACAAAAAUGAAAGCACUAUUUCUAUCAGCCUAAUUCCUAUAGAAUGAAGAAAUGUGAUUAAUUUGUUUUCAAAACAAGAGGGAGAGCUUGUAUUUGAAAGAGAAAAAAAAAGAUGUUAGACACUCACUGUGUAUUAACUGAGUAGGGCCUAAUUCUAGUGUUUUAUGUACAUCACAUAAAAAUCCACAAAUUAAGGUUAAAUGUGAUCAGAAGUAAUAUCCUCUAUAAAAAGGAAUUAUUCACACACACACAAAAGAUUGAAAUAGAAGCUUUUAAAAUCUGGGAGUCAAGGACCGUGUUGCUCUCGUGCUAACAAAUUCCAUAUGUACAUACAUGCUUGUCAGUUUCAUCUUGUAAGUCUCCAUUACUUAAAAAAAAAAACCCAACAAUAACCAAAAGAAAACGCAAACAUACACAACAAAUAAACAAACAUAAAAGGUAAAUAUACCAGAUAUCAGUGAGGAAGUGGUAUAUAAAAAAAAGUUGAAGAUAUUCAAAACAGAUUAAUUUUAAAUGCAUAUUCCAUAAUUGAAUUGAUUACAGUUUCAAGGUUAAUAAUUCCUUCAACAUCACCUGUAAGAUUCUUUACUGCUCCAUCAUGUAAAUCCUUAAGGGUACACCAGUGAACUUUACUUAUCAUUGAACUUAAAUACACUGCAUAUGGAUGUGUAUAGACUUUUCACCAUGUGCUUCUGCCCCUUAUAUAGAUAAUUUCUACAUGAUUACAUCCUUAAUAUUUUUCUGGCCUCAAUGCCACAUAUACUUGCUUUUUAAUUAACACCUUUAAAACCUGUUGGGGGCAAAAUAGUCCCUAAUAGAAUUCCAGUUGGGAUGAAUGUGCCAAGGCUUUUCCCACCCCAGGGCUGUUUUUAUGCUCAUUUUCUUUGUUGGGGAAUGAACUCCAAUAAUCUCAAUGCUUGCCUCACUCGGGUCUUUGCUUAAAUUUUCCCUAAUCUGAUUUCUUUCCUCAACAACUCUAUCUAAAAUAAUACUUGGCUCCAGUUUAUGUGUCCUCUUUCUCUUUAACCGACUUAACCUUUCUUCAUAAAACACAUUCACCUGAAAUAUUAUAUAUUUGUUAUUAUAUUACCUUACUGUUGGUUUAUAUCUACCAGAACAUAAGCUCUACAAGAGCUGGGAAUUUAUAUUAUUCAUCUCUUUAUCCUUAGUGCCUAAAAAAGUGCAUCACACAGAGCAGAAACUCAAUAGAUAUUUGUUAAACAAUAAAAUGUAUAAUUUUUGCUAAAUUCCUCAAAAUUAUUAGUGCCCUAAAAUAUUAUUAAGUGAACGUGAUCAAUUAUUUGCUAAACACUAAACUCUUGAAUCACAUGUUUUAGAAGUAGGCCAAGCCAUGCACUGUGCACUACUUAUUUAAUUCACACAGCACUCUACAAAUUUUUUAUACAUGAGGAAAAUAAGAUUCAGAGACAUUAGGCCACCUGCCGAGAUAAUAUAACCAGUAAACGGCAGAACCUGGAUUGAAUUUUGAUUAUCUAAUUCAGAAUCCCAUGCCCUUCUUGCUAGAUGAUAUUUCGUGACAUAAUUAAAGGCAUCAGUGUGCUUUUAUUUGUUCAUUUCUGGACAUAAGCGAAAUGAUCAAUUCUCGGUGUCCAUAGUUGGUCAUAGAAUUAUGAGUAAGGAAAUAGUAGGAAAUUCUACCACACUUUAAAGACCUUUUUCUGUCUCAGCAAAACAACAAAUUCUAGCCUUUUCUCUCUAAGAUGAUGGAAGGGUCUGUCAACGGUUACAGAAACACAAAGAGCUAGGCUUAAUUAUUGUUCUGGACACUCUAAAAUCUAAUGUGGAGACAUUUUUAUGGAGAUAAUCUGUUUCAAAAUAAAUCAACCCAAAAACUCUUUCCUGAGGCUUUUUGGAUUACAAAUUUCCUAAAGCUGAAGUACAAGAAAGGGUGAUUGUGAAUCAGACACUCUACAAAAUGCCCUUACCAAAGUGUCAAACUUUAGAAGCCUCUCUGGAGUCAAACCGUUGUACUCCGGCCCUUUAAUUACAAGACAGAUCAAGAAGAAACAAUUAAAUGAGUAAAAUGAUAAAUUGGUGUUAGAAUUCAUUCUUGACUUCACUCACGAUAAUGUUUGUGUCUGUGCCCCUAAACAUCUGCUAAGCCUGCCAUCUUCAUUGAUUUUACUAAGUAGAUAGCCCUAUUUAUUGUCAGAACAUAGCAGGUGUGGCAAGUGAAGUAACAAUUUUAUUAAACAGCAUUUACAGCAAUGAAACCAAUGUGUGUGGACACUUCAGGUGUAUCUCACACAGCAAACACAGGUGAUCGAUGUCAGUUUGUUCACUGUCCACUCUAGGUGAGCGUGUAAUGGUGCACACAGAGAGCUGACACCUCCAUUUGUUUUCCUAAUGCAUCUGAAACUUCUCUGUUUUCUUUCACAUACGUUUGUUAAACAAAUAAAGGAUUAGGCAGAAUGAGUGAAUCGAUGUUCUCUGGAAGAUGUAAAUUUUAUUGUUUUACAUAAUCUUUCCUUAUUUUGAAGCAAUUCUACCUAAUGAGGAAAAUGUCUAAAUAAUUAACCAAAGGAACUGGCAUUUUACUCUUGGUUAAAGUCCUCUUCAGCUUAAAUUAGAAGCGUAACAAAGUCCUUCAAUAUGUUACUUUUCUCUUGAUUCCCUUUGGCAUCAAAGGGAAUUACAUCUUUAUUAUUUCUUAUAUUUUUAUUCAAAAGUCUCCUACCUGUUUUUUCCACCUCCAGAUUGUUUUUGCCCUCCAAUCCAAACAAUGCAUGUGGUCAGAUUAAUUACCCUAAAACAUAGCUCUAAUCCUGUCACUCUUGUAUUAAUACUCCUUCAUAGAAGACUGCCAUAUCCUGAAAAAAAACCAAAUGCCACAGCUUGACAUUCAUAAACCUCUGUUUGGCCUCAAACUGCCCUAUUAGUGAUGACUUGUACUUCUUCCCUCUCUACAUCUAUUCCCUUGUCAGACUGGAUCCCUCAACCUUUUAAGACUGUCUUCAUAUUUAUUUCUCCCUCAAUGCUUAUUUCAUGAUCAGAUUCAAAUGCUACCUACAACUCUUCUUGUGGUUAGAAAUGGCCUCUUUAUUUUUUCUUGAAAACUCAGUUUAUUUGUUUAUUUUGAGGAAGAUUAGCCCUGAGCUAACAUCUGCUGUCAAUCCUCCUCUUUUUACUGAGGUAGAUUGGCCCUGAGCUAACAUUCGUGCUCAUCUUCCUCUACUUUAUAUGUGGGAUGCCUGCCACAGCAUGGCUUGCCAAGCAGUGCCAUGUCCACAUCUGGGAUCCGAACCAGGGAACCCCGGGCCGCUGAAGCAGAACGUGCGAACUUAACUCCCAUGCCACUGGGCUGGCUCCUCAAAGUUUGUUUUGAUGGUAGUAUAAAGGAGUAAAGUAUUUGAAAAAAUAUAUAGGAAGUAAAAUUGUCAAGAACUAGCAAUUGAUUGGAAAGGGUAAGACUUUGGGAUAACUUCCAGGUUUCUAACUCAUUGAUUUGGUAAUGCUAUUAACUGCUAACAAUAUGGAAUACAAAACAGCCACAGGGUAGAGGAGGGGGGCAGAGGGGCACAGAAAGAGCUGGUGAGCUGGGUAGGAGGUAGGACAGACUUGAAGAAUCCAUAGGACACACGAGUAAUGGGCAGUUGGAUGCACCAUCUUUAGCUCCAGAAUAAACCAGACUUAGAAAGUUAGGACUGGGUCAAUUAGCAUAAUGAUAGUUUAACCCCUGAGAGGGAGUGAGAUCACUCAAGGGGAGCAUAUAUAGCGAAGAAACAGUUUAAGAUAUAUGGAAGACACUGAAGUUUAUUGGAGCAAAAGGGAAAACUCAAGAAAGAGGCUAAGAAUAAAUAAUAGUGAGGAAAGAAUGUCAAGGAAGAAAAAGAAGCAAAAAAACAAAACACUAAGACACAAAAAGCCAUUCAUAAGGCAAUAGGCCUUUAUAACCAGAUAAAAAAACAAAAAGCGUUUAUUGGAUUUGUCCAUAAAGAGACCAUCAGUGUCUUUUUCAAGAGCAGUUUCUGUGGAGGGAUGUUAUCAAGGCAUACUGCCAUGAGAAGAGAAGUGAUUGUUGUUGGGGAAUGAAGAUCAGGAGUUUGCACUACUCUUUCAAGGAACUCAGUUAAGAAGGAAAGGAUAUAUGAUGGUACCUGGAAGGAAAUGAGGAGAUUCUCAUUUAUUAAUUUACUCACUAUGGUGCAGGGGAGACCUAAACAUAUUUAUACUCUUAGGGAAAGGAAAAAAGAAGAGAUAAAGAUAUGAAGAUAUUGAAGAGAAAGAGAAACAAUGUAUAUGACUAAUAUAAUCCUAUAUUUGUUUUUAAAAGUCUGUGCAUUAAUGGUAUGUGUAUAUAUAUAUACACAUAUACAUAUAUGUAAUUGUGUGUGCAUAUUUUUAUAUGUGCACAUUUAUGCAUAUGUAUGUUCAGACACAUGGGUCCAUCUUUUACUCUGUGAAUGUAUAGAAACAGUCCAGAAAGAGGCAUGAUAAACUGUUAAGAUUUGUAAUCUAUGGAGCUGGAAACUGGAAGAAAUUCUGAUGGGAUCUUUACUUUACAAAUUCUUCCUUUUUUCUUGCUCCCAAUAUUGUAACAAAAAUAAACUAAAAUUUAGCAAAAAUAAAAUAAGCUUUUCUGGAUUAAAAAAGAAGACAAACACCUGUGGAAUUUUUUUAAAAUAUAGAAAUCUAGGCCUCAGUCCAGGGAGUUCUUCAUUUAGUGAAGUAAGCUCCUAACACUUGUCAUUAAAAAAAAAAAGCCUCCAUAGGCAAUACACGGCCAAGGAGAGAGAACCAUUGUUCAUCUAGACAAAUGGACACAGAUCCAGAAAGGAGGAAUAAUUUGAAUGCAACAGCUAUGUGACAUAUUUAGAUUCAGCGGGUAGAUCACUUUUUUUUUUUUGCUGUUAUCUUAAGGACCUAUGGCGAAAUUAAUCGUAUAGAUGUGCAUCAUUUAUUGUAUGAAUGAAUGAAAGGAAGAUGGUAUGUGAUAAUUUCUUAAGGCUUAUCACCAUGCUUUUAGGCACCACAUUCUAUUGGUGUUAGUAGCUAUGGGAAAAUAGCCAGGAAGAAAGAUCUAUUAGGAUAAUUCUGAAGCAGAACAUGCCUGACAUUUUAGAGCAUAAAGUAGUAAUGUUAAUGUUGGCCUAAGAUUAGUCUUUUAACAUGGGAAUAGAGAAUUGCUUUUGAGUAUUGAGCGACACACAAAAAUUAUCUCAGAAUCCUAGUCUAUUAGUUCUGAAAAAAGUGUGUGUGUGAGUAUGUGUGUGUGGUAUGUAGGGGGAAUCAGGAUUUCCAGAGAAAUUCUGAUGUUUAAUAUUGUAGUUCACAUGGCAGAUAACAUCUAGCAAUUCUUAAUAUUGCCUUUAGGGACUAGCUUGCUUCAUAUGGUUCAUCUAUGAGAAAGUGAAUGUCUUUGAAUAUCUUAUUCAAUAUAUUAGACACAUUCAUAUUUAUUUUGCUGUUCUUAAAGCAAUAUUGUAGGCAUGUAACUGUAAGUCAGAGCCCAUAAGAAUUUAUUAAUUUUAUUAUUUAGCUCCUUCUUUUAAAUAAUAUAACUAGCAUUGUAUAUUAAAAAGAAUGUAGGACAGACUGCUUGAGAUUUUAAUUUCCUUUUUUAACAAUUUAAUGUUACUCGUAUAGAUCUUUCUUCAUCUUUAACCUUUUGUCCAUUGCUAUAUCUGGAUAGACCUAUUUAUCUUCAUUCUACCUUUGACACAUAAACCAGGCUGCCUUUAUAUUUGAGAUACUGACAGCAUCAAUGUAAUGGUCAUAUGUUUAGAAUGGAUUUGUGAUUUUAAGCAUUAUUUUCUUAUAAGAAGUUAAAAAUAGAUUCAACAUUUAAGAGUAAAGUAGAACUUUCAAAAUGUACAAAUUCCUCACAGUUCAGUUUGUAAUUUUGGUUUGAGAUUUCAGUUCCCUGUGAAUAAUAUGUUAAACUCCCUUGAGCUAUAGAAAAGAACAAUACGUCAAAGACACACACAUGGAUAGUGUAAAAACAAACCAGUAAAAAUUGUAAGCAAAAUCACAUUUGGGGUUAAUAAAGACUAAGAGUGGUUCUUCAUUCAAUGUUAACAAAAAAGAGCAAAGAAAAUGUCAGCCCCACUGAUCCCUGGAUGAAUGCCAUACAUUCAACAUAUUGCUAACUCUCUUCUACACUCUAAUAAUUCUGCUAUCCUAACAUACUAAUUAGCAGUAAUUAUCUAAUUGUAGUUCAUAAAAGUCUUUAAAAUGAUGCGAUUAAAUGCCUGAAUGUCAUUAGCCCCUUUUCAACAUAUUUAUUGCACCUUUUAUAGCUAGACACAAAAGAGGUAAAAAAAGGUUUUUAGAUUUCACAAAUUUCAGGAAUGCUAAUAUCAUCUUUAAGAUUCUUCUUAUUUCAUUCUAUCAAAAUACUGGAUGUUUUCCAAGCCUGAUUAAAAUGGUAGGUGAUUUUCAAUGAGGAAUAUACCACAUUGUUAAUUUACAUCUAUAUGUAUUAUAAAUUUUAUAUACAUAUAUAAUUAAAUAACAGCUUUACUUUCCACUAAUUUAGAUUACUAGUUCCUUUUAUUAAAAAGAAUGCAGAAAUUAUAUUUCCCCAUUGAUUUACCAUGCAAAUAAUUUGCUUAGUUUUUACUCAUCAAAGUUUCUAAUGGGAAUUAUUAUUUCUCCUUGGAUCUGUCUUCCCUGAAUCUAUCUUUCUACAAGACACCUGACCUCACUUCUGCAUUUUUAAAUCUUGGCUGAAGAAAGAAAAGAUCGCCUUGAAACAUAAAAGCCAUUUUAGAGGCAGCAGGAGUUGGGACAUUAUUGAAGGUCAUACUGUCACUGGAAUGAGCUUCUGCUUCCUUUUAAAAAUGAUAAUCAAUGUCUUGAAUACAGCUAUUUUUCUGACUAGAAAGUAAGAAAGCACCUGCGUUUCCAUGUUCUGACUCUUGUUAUUCUAAUUUGAUUGAUAGACAGAGGAGGAAUUAAGAUUUUUUUCUUAUCUGAUUCAGCCUCCAAUCUUUUUUCCGCUUAAUAAGCCUAGACUAGGAAAGAUGUGUAUGUUUGUACACGUGUGUAUGUGUUUGUGUGUGCAUUCACUUAUGUUAUUCUUAUAGAAUGGUUCAAAUUCAUGAGAAGUGCUUGCUCUCAUGUUUUUGAUGACUGUAUUUGGAUAAUGGAAGACAGGGCUUUAUGAGAAUAUUCUUGACAUAACAGCAACCCAAGCUGUCAUUGCUUUAGGGCAAGAGUCCUGCAGGGGUAGAGACCUAGUGGUGGGUUGAUAGUACAAGGGAGAUUAGAUUUAGGAGAGAUCAAUAGAACAAUUCUGUUUCACAAAUUUUAUUAUUAUCCUUCCAGCAGCUGAGCUGAAAUGUAGGAUCUGAUUGAUUCAUUACAUUACUGUGUACUCAAACACAGGUUACUGGAUUGAGCUAUUAAUGCACGCAGAGGGCAUUAACCUUAAUCACCUUAGCCUUCUAAGUAAAUUCCAUAUCUCUUAUUCAUGCUUUCUUUAGCUUCAAGAUUUAUUCUAUGUGAAACUGCCAUUUGUGUUACUACUCGUUUAACUCAUGUAAGAUCGAGAGAGUAGAUAGUAGCCACUCUCAGCUUUUUAAGUUUACCAGUGAAGUUGUACUUCUGAAAAAGAAUUAGUGUUAAAUAUAGUGAAAGCAAGAGUGUACAUGAAAUAGUCUUUGUCAAGUUGAAAGAUUCGCCUCUAUUCCUAGUUUACUGAAUUUCGAAUAUUCUUUGUAUAUUUUGGAAUACAGUCUUUUAUCAGAUGUGUCUUUUGCAAAUAUUUUCUCCCAAUCUGUACUUGUCUUCUCAUUUUUUUUCUAUUGUCUUUUGCAGAACAGAAGUUUUUAAUUUUCAUGAAGUCCAGUUCAUCAAUUAUUUCAUGGAUGGUGCCUUUGGUGUCAUAUCUAAAAAGUCAUUGCCAUACCCAAGACGCUCCAUUCUGAAGGAUUUAGUGUUAAACCCAGCCUUAAAAGAGCUGAAAGGCACAGUCACCAACCUGCUUGAAAGAUAACCAAGUCGGAGGUCUCCGGGGCUUGGCCUCCAUCAGACGAGGACUGCGAGGAAGGAGAGGACUGAGGCAGUGUGGGAGAUAGAAACCAGAGGGAAGUCAAGGAUUACAAGAUAUUCCAAAUACCCAUCUGAGCAGAUUUCAAGUAUUCAGAACCAAGCAGACAACGUCCAGAAGACCUAGCUGGAGAUAUAAAGAGAGGUCUGGAGGGGAAUGUAUGGACACUAAUACCGUCUCGGAAAGAUUAAAUCCAGGAAGAAGAAAUCUAACAGAGAAAGAACACAACCAUAAAUAGUGGCUCAAAAAUUCACAGAUAUAAACUCUCAAAAAAGAAAUGUUUCAUAUAUAUAGAUUCUUUCAUUAAAGAAAAAGUAUCCAACAGAAAGUGUGACAAAGGCAUGAGGAUAAUCUUGGAAUUCCUUCCACCUGGCAUUGGACCUAGCAUCAAGGGAAGCUACGGAAGGCUUCAGCGCAAAGCUACUGCAGUGAGGCAGAAAUGGUUUACUAUUUAUUCCUAGUGAUUCACCUUGAUAGCAUUUUCUACAGGGAACGUGCUGGGCUAAUUGGAGGCACUCAGGAUCAACACUGGAACUCAGGUCUUUACAUACUGAGAGACUUACUGAAACAACAAGGGUGGAUUCCUCAGAAACGACCUUUCCAGUUCCACAUCCAUAAAGCUAAAGCUGUAGAUGUAGAAGAAUUUUUGAAUAGAGUUGAGAGAAUGUCUUUUUUAACUGAACAACUAUUAGCACUUACAAAUUCAUGGAAAAAGAACUUUUAUACACACACACAUACAUAUGCAUACAUGUAUACAUGCUCACAUAUGUAUAUGAGUAUAUAUGUAUACAUAUACAUUCGCAUACAUAUAUACAUAUCCAGAUAUAUCCCUUAAAGCAUAGCUUUGUGUUCAUAUCUAUCUAUGGACUCCACUGGUUAAUUUAAUAUUUAUUUAAUUUUUAAUUCACUUCAAGCUCUCUACUAAAAUUUAAGAACACAUUGGUAAUUGAAAUAGUAAUUGUCCCUCCUUUCAUGGAGUUUAUAUUCUACUGAAAGAGAGAAAAAUUUAAAAAUAAUCCUACAUACAUAUACUUUUGCUGUGUUUGUUGUGUUAUCACAGAAAAGUAAGGGUCAGGAGAAUCGGACUUAAAUUAAAACUUUACGGACUUUUUCACAAAGGAAAUUAUGUUUAAAAGUGAGCUCUGAAGAAGGUAGACUCAGACUUAAAGGACUUCCUGGUGGUUUCAAGUAGGUGCCCAGUGGCUGUAUGUAUAUGGCUAGAUGUUAAUUACCACCUAGGAAGCUAGUGUUGACCAGCUUCUAGCAAUAGGAAAAUGUGUGGAGGGCUAGAAGCUAUGAGAAAUAGAUAACAAAUACUCUGGAGAGCAAAACUAUAAGAUAUUUUUGACAAGCUAAGUAACAAAGUAUUAGUAUUUAGUAAUUAGUAAUAAAGUAUUUAGAACAUGAAAAAGUUUAACAGGGAUAAAGGUAAUGUUUUGCAUAUGAGUUCAAAAUAAAUUUACAGUAGCAAAGAUGGGUUUAGAAAUCCCAUGGGGUAUGAAGACAGAGGUUUGGUCAACAUCAGUAGUGCCAUGUGACUCCAAAGAAAAUGAGAAAGGAGAGAAAGGAAGAAAAAGAAAGAGAAAAAGCAAACCACACAAAACUGAAUUAAUAAGGCAGGCAAUAAUUAUUAUUAUUAUUAUCAAGAAUCAAGAAUCAAUGCUAAGCCAUUUAGAAAGAUUCAGGGCAAUUUUGUUGUGUUUUGUUUAAAUCUUAGUUCAUAAAGUUCUGAUUAUAAUGGAGAAUAGAAAGUAAUGUGUCCAUGAACCUCACUACACCUUGGUUUCCUCACACUAUGUAAUGAGAAUAACAGUAUAUCUCACAUAACAGUUUAAGUACGUUAAGUAAAGUGAGUGAGCUACUGUAUAUAUGUAUCUUCAGCACAGUAUCUGGCACAUGAAAAUAUCUAACUACAUUACAAGUAUUUCUGUAACUCUUUACAUGUACUAGCUCACUGAUUCUCACAAAAAUCUAUGGAAUAGGUAUUAUGAUCAUCUACCUUUUAUAUAUGAGAAAGCCAAAGCAUAACGAGAUUAAGUAGCUUGUCAAAUCACACAGCAAGGAAGUAGUAUUGCCUAGGUGGACUACGUGGUCUAAUUUUAGAGUUUUUAUUUCAAAUCUCUACUCUUUAUUGCCUCUUGUAGUAAUCACUCAACAUAUACCUUUCUAUAAUAAAUAUGAAUUCUGUAAAUUGCAAUUUUUAUAAUAGUCUUUAAUAUAAAUUUAAUCAUAUGUAUUAUUGUUUUAAUGAUUUCUCAGAACAUAUGUCAGCA